UACUAAUUACAAACCUUAGAAAAGGAACUUAGGAUUAUAGACAAACCGAUGGCUUUCAACACCAUUUUAAAGGGGCCACCCUUAGCUCCU
rnacentral:tRNA from 1 species